AUGGGUGUACGUCGGGAGGUGGAGGUGGUGGAGUCGUGCAUGGUGCCGCCCAUGGAGCAGACGCCUAGCCAGGGCCUCUGGCUCUCCCCGCUCGACCUCGCAAUUGUCAAUAGAGGCCUCAUCCCCACCGUCUACUUCUACAGCUCCAGCUCCGGCGUCGACGAUGACUUCUUCGACGUGGCCAGGCUCAAGGUGGUUCUGGCCAAGGCUCUGGUGCCCUUCUACCCUCUCGCCGGCCGUAUCGGCGUGGACGGCGGCGGUCGAGCGGAGGUGCACUGCGCCGGCCAGGGCGCGCUCUUCGUCGUCGCUCGCUCGGACCUCACCGUCGAUGGCCUCGUCGAUUGCCAGCCGUCGCCGGAACUAAGGAGGCUCUUUGUUCCCCGCUUCGACGACUCGCCGUCCAUCAUGUGCGCCAUUCAGGUGACUUUCAUGGGAUGCGGUGGGGUCAUCCUGGGGACGGCGCUGCACCACGCCGCCGUCGACGCCGCAAGCGUGUUCCACUUCUUCAAGACGUGGUCCACCUUCUCCAGAGACCGUGAUGGGCCCGGGAGUGCGGCGCUCGACCUCCCGUGCCACGACCGUACCCUCCUCCGCGCGCGCACACCGCCCAUGGUCCACCCCGACGCUUUCACUGUGUUCUGCCCGAAGCUAAGCCUAUCCGAGACGUCGGGCAUCGGCCCCGUCGUCAGCGAGAUUUUCGCCGUCUCCAAGGACCAGGUUGCCGCUCUCAAGCGUGCAUGCACCAGCAUGAGCACGUUCGUCGCCGUGAGCGCCCACGUGUGGCGGUCCAUGUGCGCCGCGCGCCGGCUGCCACCGGACGCCACGACGCGGCUCACCUUCCCGGCCAACGUCCGGCGCGUCCUGAGGCCGCCGCUGCCGGCCCGCUACUUCGGGAACGCGGUCAUCACCCUGGGCACCGCCGGCAAGGUCCGGGACAUAGGGUCGGAGGAGCUGGCCUCCGUGGCCGGCCGGAUCAAUGGCGCCGUCCGCCGAAUGGACGACGAGCUCGUGCGCUCGGCGAUCGACUACUUGGAGAUGAACGGCGGCAAGCAGCCGGUCGGCACCCUGCCGGAGACGGAGCUGAGGGUGUUCAGCUGGCUGGGCAUGCCGAUGUACGACGCGGAUUUCGGGUGGGGGAAGCCGCUCGCGAUGCACCGCGCGUUGGAGGAGCGCGGCGGGAUCGUCUGGACGGCCUCAGCGGCGGCGUGCGCAUACCAGCUGAUAGGCUUUCGCUAUGUACCAUUAUCUAUCUUCUUCUCAUUUUUUUUUCUUUUGGGAAACAUUAUUCAUCUUCUUUAUUCGGGAAUGUACCACUAUAUAUCAAUUAUAUCACCUCGCAAAAAAUAUAUAUAUAUCAAUUAUAUCAUUAUUGUGACAGUUAAGAUUUAUGUAAGAAUAUUUUGA
rnacentral:rRNA from 1 species